GAUUUUAGCUCAGUUGGUAGAGCAUGAGACUCUAAAUCUCAAGGUUGUGGGUUCGAGCUCUGUGUUGGGCA